CGGCGCGUCGUGAUCUCUAGAUUGCAUUAUCGAAAACAAAUGAGAUCGAUUGCAUAAUAUUCUCGGAUACCUUGGAUGCGAUGAAAACCUAGCCAUGGUUUUGCAUCCACGUGUGUGAUGACGAGAAAGGGGUAACUAUUUGAGCUAUCGCACAAUUUCCGCCGGUGGAGAGCUCUGAGAGUUUCCGGUGCAAAUGCAGUUUCCGUUCGACUAUGCCACAAACUCGCCGAUCUUCGAGUUUAUUCUUCUGAGAUAUUUCCUUCAUGUUCGAGAGACUGUAAUCGCGAUCUUGAACUCUCUGAUUCUGCCACUGCCUUUCUCUUAGUUUUCUUUCUUCGAAAGACUCACGUGAACGACCACAUCAAUAUUAUAUGCCAGGAAUUGAAAGAAAUUUUCUCCACGAGAAAAUCUUAUCUAUUGGCUACAAGAUUGCUUAUCAAAAGGCAUCAGAAAAUCUUUAUCCAACAAUAUCGAUAACUUUUUCUUCUUCGUUGCACUGAUACAAUUUGUAUGGAAUAUAUAGUUAUCUGCGUUAUUGGAUUUAUGA